ACGGGUAGCUGCUGGAGCAAUGGUACGGAAAGGUAGGGGCGUGCCGAAAGGUUUCUCAUUGGUGAAAGGAGUUUUACUGUGUUGGCCAAUCAGCGGUAAUUAUACGUUUACGUAAUUUCCUUGAGAUGAGAAGGUGACGGCGAUAAGACGUGAGGAAAUUAUUCAUCAUACGUUUAUCUAUACUUCAUAUACCACAAAUAUGUAUAUUACGAUAGCUUGUUACAAUACGAUCAUAAUUUUAUCAUAGUUUAUUGUUGUUGACAGACAUAUGUACAGUGAGACAAAACGAUGACCGCAUCUGCAUUGAAGGCGAAGCCUUCAGAGUUGAUAGUUUGUAUCGGCGUCCUUUUUGUGCAACACAGUACAGAAUACAUCAUGUAUCCAACUAAUGUAGAGUAUAUUCAAGUUGCCAACACACUGGUUGUUUAGUACCCUUUCCAGAGAAAUAUAAAAGGAAAUGACUGUGAAACUUGUGUUGGGGAGGAUUCAAUGUCUGUUGAGGCUCAUGUGAAUUUGUUAAUGUAAUCAAAAAAACACCCAUACUUAAGAACACCUGCUGGAGGGGACCCUGCUACACCUUUCCUACGAUACAGCUGAUGGAUACUGACUGUAAAAUGGCAAUCAUAGGAGGAGGGUUCAGUGUGGUGACAGAAGAUGGAAUAGACGUGUGCCAGUGCACCAGCUGAUGAAGCCUUCAUAACAGCCUUCUGUAUCGUUGACUGGAAGUCUGUCAGUCCAGAUGUGAGGAGGACACAAAGAGUGGAGUUGGAGCUCAGCAGGUGUGAUGGCUGUAGAUACUGUGGUCUUGGAAAGAAGGGGGUCUUCACAGCUUUCUAUUCAGACAGAGUUUGCUGGAUUCUGUUCUAUGGACUGCUACUACAGAAUAAAUGAAUGAAUGAGUGGUUUAUCUAUCUAUCUAUCAUCUAUCUAUCUCUCUAUCUAUCUUUUACUUGAAUUGGGGACUGAAACUAAAAGCGAAAUAAAUGUUU